ACUCAUAUAUAUAACACCCAAGACUUCCCUGUAAAACCGAUGCGGGACGCAUCACCAACUCUUAAGAAUUCAAUAUUAAAUCAAAAGCUGUGUAAUUCUUCUUUACUUUCAACAUCUACCAUAAAUCUAAACUUGCCUUUUGCCUCAAUUGAAAGGAUUCUGCCUUCUGUGUUCACUCAAGGAAUACUUUAAAAAUUGUGCCUGUAAUGAGGCCAGUGGCCUUGGAUUUUUUAGUGCAAGUUUGUGGACUUUUAUUUUGUUGGGAGGAUUUCAUGAUAGCAGAAUAGAAAGGCCAUUUAGUGUCCAUCUAGAUAUUCUGUCUUUUGUCCAGGUUCACAUGAAUCACAUCUGUCCCAUUGAUAAACAAAGUCCUAUAUUUUUCUCUCCAGUUUUAGCAUAUAGCAAUUUUGACAUGA
rnacentral:misc_RNA from 1 species